AUUGAACGCUGGCGGCAGGCCUAACACAUGCAAGUCGAGCGGAUGAGUGGAGCUUGCUCCAUGAUUCAGCGGCGGACGGGUGAGUAAUGCCUAGGAAUCUGCCUGGUAGUGGGGGACAACGUUUCGAAAGGAACGCUGAUACCGCAUACGUCCUACGGGAGAAAGCAGGGGACCUUCGGGCCUUGCGUUAUCAGAUGAGCCUAGGUCGGAUUAGCUAGUAGGUGAGGUAAUGGCUCACCUAGGCGACGAUCCGUAACUGGUCUGAGAGGAUGAUCAGUCACACUGGAACUGAGACACGGUCCAGACUCCUACGGGAGCAGCAGUGAGGAAUAUUGGACAAAUGGGCGCAAGCCUGAUCAGCCAUGCCGCGUGCAGGAUGACGGUCCUAUGGAUUGUAAACUGCUUUGUACAGGAAGAAACACUACUUCGUGAAGUAG
rnacentral:rRNA from 1 species